AGAGUUUGAUCCUGGCUCAGUAUGAACGCUAGCUACAGGCUUAACACAUGCAAGUCGAGGGGCAGCAUGAACUUAGCUUGCUAAGUUUGAUGGCGACCGGCGCACGGGUGAGUAACACGUAUCCAACCUGCCGAUGACUCGGGGAUAGCCUUUCGAAAGAAAGAUUAAUACCCGAUGGCAUAGUUCUUCCGCAUGGUGGAACUAUUAAAGAAUUUCGGUCAUCGAUGGGGAUGCAUUCCA
rnacentral:rRNA from 1 species